GGGGAAUAUUGCACAAUGGGGGAAACCCUGAUGCAGCGACGCCGCGUGGAGGAAGAAGGUCUUCGGAUUGUAAACUCCUGUUGUUGAGGAAGAUAAUGACGGUACUCAACAAGGAAGUGACGGCUAACUACGUGCCAGCAGCCGCGGUAAAACGUAGGUCACAAGCGUUGUCCGGAAUUACUGGGUGUAAAGGGAGCGCAGGCGGGAAGACAAGUUGGAAGUGAAAUCUAUGGGCUCAACCCAUAAACUGCUUUCAAAACUGUUUUUCUUGAGUAGUGCAGAGGUAGGCGGAAUUCCCGGUGUAGCGGUGGAAUGCGUAGAUAUCGGGAGGAACACCAGUGGCGAAGGCGGCCUACUGGGCACCAACUGACGCUGAGGCUCGAAAGUGUGGGUAGCAAACAGGAUUAGAUACCCUGGUAGUCCACACCGUAAACGAUGAUUACUAGGUGUUGGAGGAUUGACCCCUUCAGUGCCGCAGUUAACACAAUAAGUAAUCCACCUGGGGAGUACGACCGCAAGGUUGAAACUCAAAGGAAUUGACGGGGGCCCGCACAAGCAGUGGAGUAUGUGGUUUAAUUCGACGCAACGCGAAGAACCUUACCAAGUCUUGACAUCCCUUGACGAACAUAGAAAUAUGUUUUCUCUUCGGAGCAAGGAGACAGGUGGUGCAUGGUUGUCGUCAGCUCGUGUCGUGAGAUGUUGGGUUAAGUCCCGCAACGAGCGCAACCCUUAUGGUCAGUUACUACGCAAGAGGACUCUGGCCAGACUGACGUUGACAAAACGGAGGAAGGUGGGGAUGACGUCAAAUCAUCAUGCCCUUUAUGACUUGGGCUACACACGUACCACAAUGGCGUUAAACAAAGAGAAGCAAGACCGCGAGGUGGAGCAAAACUCAGAAACAACGUCCCAGUUCGGACUGCAGGCUGCAACUCGCCUGCACGAAGUCGGAAUUGCUAGUAAUCGUGGAUCAGCAUGCCACGGUGAAUACGUUCCCG
rnacentral:rRNA from 1 species